rnacentral:rRNA from 1 species
CAUGUCUUUUUGAAUAUAAUUUAAAGUCUAAUCUGCUCAAUGAGGAUUUAAAUUGCCGCGGUAUUUUGACCGUGCAAAGGUAGCAUAAUAAUUAGUUUCUUUAUUGGAAGCUGGAAUGAAUGAUUGGACGAGAAAAUUACUGUCUCUAUUAAAUUUAUUUUUAAAUUUUACUUUUAAGUUAAAAGGCUUAAAUUUUUUUCAAAGACGAGAAGACCCCAUAGAGUUUUAUAUUAAUUUUAUUAAUAAGUUUUUGGUUAUCUAAUUUUUUUAGUAAUAUUAAUAUUUGGUUGGGGUGACUGAAAGAUUAAUUUAACUCUUUUAAAUUUUAAUCAUUGAUUGGUGAAUAUUAAAUCUAGAUUUUCUAAAUUUAAAAUAAAUUACCUUGGGGAUAACAGCGUAAUUUCUUUUUAGAGUUCUUAUUGAAAAAGAAGUUUGCGACCUCGAUGUUGGAUUAAAAUUAAUUUUUGGUGUAGAAGCUAGAAAAUUAGGUCUGUUCGACCUUUAAAAUUUUACAUGAUCUGAGU